UAAUACGGGGGGGGCAAGCGUUGUUCGGAAUUACUGGGCGUAAAGGGUGCGUAGGCGGCUCUCUAAGUCGGAUGUGAAAACUCUGGGCUCAACCCAGAGCCUGCAUCUGAAACUGGAGGGCUAGGGUUCUGGAGGGGAAAGCGGAAUUCCUGGUGUAGCGGUGAAAUGCGUAGAUAUCAGGAGGAACACCGGUGGCGAAGGCGGCUUUCUGGACAGAUACCGACGCUGAGGCACGAAAGCUAGGGGAGCAAACAGGA
rnacentral:rRNA from 1 species